UACGUAGGUGGCAAGCGUUGUCCGGAAUUAUUGGGCGUAAAGCGCGCGCAGGCGGUCUUUUAAGUCUGAUGUGAAAGCCCACGGCUCAACCGUGGAGGGUCAUUGGAAACUGGAGGACUUGAGUGCAGGAGAGAAGAGUGGAAUUCCACGUGUAGCGGUGAAAUGCGUAGAGAUGUGGAGGAGCACCAGUGGCGAAGGCGACUCUUUGGCCUGUAACUGACGCUGGAGGCGCGAAAGCGUGGGAGCAAACAGG
rnacentral:rRNA from 1 species